AGCUAGGUUCGGCUUGGCAUUGCGGCUUGGCAGCUCGACAUCCGAAUGGUAUACCGAUUUCUAGGUUUUCCACCCUUCUGGAGUCAUUCCCACCCUUGUUUCAACCAUUUGAGGAGGUAGUUAGGCGCCGAAGUUAGCAUUGUGGGUGACUUCGGCUAAGGCCAAAGAGGUAAGAGCAAGGCUCCCAUGUACGGUUGACGGUGGAUGCUGCGAAGGCCAUGGAAAUCUUAAGGAGGGUUUGUAGUGUCGUAGGCAUCUUGUUGGAUUCUUUUGGGUUCAUAAUUGUUGCAAUUGUUCCUCUAGUUCUUUGUUGAUUAUUUCUAGGUUAGCCUGUCGUUAUUGUUUUCCCCCAUAUAUGAACUGCUUAUAAUAAUGAAC